GGAGAUUAUUAACAAACAGUUGUCUUUACAUUAUGUCACAUAAAUACACAUAAAUGUUUUUGUGUAUCUAGUUGUUGAAAGAUAUUGACACAAAUAUAGGUGUAGGUAUUUGUACAGAUAUAUGUAUUUUUAAAACGAGUUAAAAACACGUUUUCCAUUAUCAAGCUUUAUAGAUUUGAAUCUCAGAUUCACAGCUUAUUUGUGUAAACAUGGGCAAGACACUUAUUUCCUCCAAGGCUGUUUCUUUCUUUCCAUUUCUUUUGUUUGUUAUGAUAAAUAAACCACAUAAUUCACACAAAGUUCUUAGCACUGAGCAUGGGACAUAGUAUAUGUUAACUAUACUCUAGCAAUCAUUAUAAUCAUGGUGCCAUCAGAGAAUUUCUCUACUGAUUUUGUUAACGUUGUCCCUGAAAAAUAGUACAGUUGCAAUAAAAUUGAGGCAAUCCAUACCUUGCUAUUUGCUAGUGAAAAGAGUUAGCCAUCUUGCAUUAGGAAGACAGUAAAUGAAGGGUACCCCGGAAAACCUCAGAUCUGCCCCGCACGCGCUUACACCGUAAGUUUGGCGCAGCUAAACGAACUUGCGCAGGGGUGGCUUACCUAAACAUGGCCGCAGGGUACAAAGAACACGCAUGCGCACUAAAUCUGCAUGCGCACUAAGGAUACUCAUGCGCACUAAGGGUACUCAUGCGCACUAAGGGUACUCAUGCGCACUAAGGGUACUCAUGCGCACUAAGGGUACUCAUGCGCACUGGGGAAAUGAGGUCCUGGGGCAAGGAAUUCACGCCGUAUUCAAAAAAGGAACGCGGCUCCAUUAGCCGUGAGGUCCAUAAAUGGAGAAGAAAUUUACUCCAUGGUGGACUCACCCAUAACUGAUUUAGAUGAUGAGGUGUGGGACAUUUUCAGAUGAUUAUAUUCAGGUGAGAUUUUGAAUUGUAUUUAAUGCUGCAUAAAGAUUCAAGGGAAUGUUGAAAUUGGGUGAAUCCAUAUUGUAUGUGAGAAACACAUGAAUUUGGGCAGCCAGAGGACAGACUGUUAUGGAUUGAAUUUUGUCCCCAAAAAUAUAUUUUAAAGCAUUGG
rnacentral:lncRNA from 1 species